CAGUGUUCUCUUUCAUUGCCAUUAAUGCCAUUACCUGCUUUACUAAACAACUUUUCCUAGAAGCUGUCAGUUAUCUUAGCAAACGAUCUCCAGCAAUGGCAGAAAGGAGAAAAAGCCUCUCGGACUCUGUGGUUUAAACCACUGAAACUUGCAGAUACAUUCCUUUCCUAUACGUGAAGCUAAUGUUUUAGUGACACAAAGAUAAUUAAGAUAAAAUCUACUCUUCUGGAAAAGUGCAGUGAGUAGGAAGUAGCAAUGCAAUUAAUGAUGCUGUGCAACACAGAACAAAGGAUGACUAUUCUGUGCUAUCUGACCUCUGACAAAGUUCAGCUGCCUACAGCAGAAAUCAUGAGGACCAGCAAUGUGCUACAAAAUCUGAGAAGGAGGCUGGCACCAAAGUUUAAAAAUGCAGCCCUGAGUCACUUAAGCAGCAUGCAUACUUGUUACAUCCUAAGUGAUAAGGAUUACAGCUCCUGCUUGCAUGUUAUCAGUAAGCCAGUGCAGGGUCUCAGGCUUGGUCUUACUAGCUUUCAUCCCUAGUUGCCACUUCAUGGGGCCCACCUGUAUCUGCAAUGCUACUUUGAUGGCUUUUGGUGUGAAAAUUGUUCAGACGUCCUAUUUUCUGGUUGCAUGUUUAACAGAGUCACUGCUGCUUAGCUCCCAUUUGCCCUCCAUGUGGCCUCUCCCCCAUCACUCAGGGUUUUUCAUCCAAGUGUUGCAUUUGUCCUACCAUCAAUCUCUAGGACAAAAUAAAUAAACAAAUCCCCAAACAUUAUGCAUUCUUCAUAACAUGGCCAAAACCUGAGACUUACUGUAACUCUUCAGUCUAACGUGCUUGAAUAUUUAAUGUACUUUAGAAUUCUCUGUUAAUUAAUAUUCCUUAUAUCACAUAUAGUAAAUUUUGAGUUAAAGUUCAUGUGUCAUUAAUUUACAUUUGCUUUCUAUAAACAUUCAAAACCUUGAGUCAACUUCACAUUGAGAUUUGUAAAAGUUGAUUUUUCAGUAUGAAAGCUUGAAUUUUAUCAACUACAAGAAAAAGAAAAAAAAAGAAAAAAAAAGAAAAAUAGUAUGUGUCAUUUUAGUUAUUGUUUUAGUUAUUUAGUUAUAUAUUUUUAGUUAUAUUUAGUUAGGAUGAAGUAAUAAUAUUAUAUAUAUUAGGAUAAUAGUAGGAUGAAGGAAAAAAUCGAUUUGCAUAACUGCAUAUCAGCUAUCUAUGUGAUUAGGAAAACACAAACUGUAAACUGACAUCCUUCACAGAUCACCAAAAGAUAAUGAACUUAUUGUUAGCCAAGAGUCAUUCACUGCAGAAACAAACAAACAAGAAAGUCUGAACAGCAAGUGCAUUUGAAAAGUUCUGGAAGUCUUCAUCACAUAGUUUUCAGAAAGAGCUACAGGAAGAAACCCAUACAUAUUUUGUGAAAAAUUACAGAGAGCUAUGUAAUACAUAAAAAUAUCUCUCAGUUUCUCCUAAAUAAACACAAUAAAUUCACACUUUUCUUCCAACAGAUCUGAAUAUCAGAGUAAGAUAAAUGCAUUGCAUCUUGUAGAUGUGUAUGAUUAGUAUACUUGCCCAAACAUAAAUGUCACUGUAAAUAAAUAAAAAAUUAAAUAAUAUAUGAUUUUUAAAAUGGGCAAGGAAGCAUUUUUUUUUUAAUAUCUUAUUUUCCAGAUCCAAAAAGUGAUAUUUCUGACCAGAAUUGUUAUACUUAGUUAAUUUUUUCUGCAUUUCUGUGGACAGCACUUGCUGUCUUUUGCCAGAUUUUUUUCCCAAUCCACAGAAGAGCUGGUUGAGGACCAAGGUAACUGUAGCUUACAAGAUAUUGUCUUGCUGAGGAUAAAAAAAAAAUUGCUGUAGCAAGCUGAUCUGAAUAGGGAUUGGCUGUUCUGCUGAGAUUUUCAUUUAUGUGUCUGAGCUAGUUAUUCUCGUCUUUACUUUUGUAAAGUAAAGACCCUAUGACCCUAUGUUUUUUUACUUAAACAUAGGGUCUCUGAGUGCUAUUUUUGGUCUCUGUAAAUGUCUCUUGCACGUCAAUUAUCCUAUCUAUAAUUUACAUAAAACGGUUUGUUAUUGGUCCAGAAUUUAACUCUGUGGCAUUACUUUGUUGUUUCAUGAGGUUAAUUUUUCUUUUUAUUUUGCUCAUUUCUGUAAGGACAGACAUUCCUUUUGUUAGUUAAGCACUUUUCUUGACUUCAUACUUCAAAUAAGUGGUCAACCAAACUCUCAAAAUGUCACCUGGACUUUCUCCAAAUUCUUCAUAACUGCAUUUUUUUCUAUUGCUUCCACAGUAUGGAAGGCUUAAGCACUUCCCUUAGGCUGGCACGAAGCUAUAAAAGUACUUAUAAUGUGAAAUGCCAAAGGUGAGCUAAAAGCUCCGUAUCACGUUUCACCCUGAUUUUGCCCUUAUUUCAAGAAAAUGCAGCAGUUCAUACUUUUUCUUAGAAUAGAAUCAUAUAGAUAUCAUUUAGAUCAUAAUAGAAUCAUUUAGGUUGGAAAAGACCCUUAAGAUCAUCAAAUGCUUUCUGGAGGUUUGGAAGCUCCUAGGAGGAAAAAAAUAAAAAAAAGCUAUAUAUAUAUUUGUUUGUUUGUGUGUGUGUGUGUGUGUUCAAUGAUAUUCCAUUCUUAGAGCUUGUGCUGAAAGCCUUUUUCUCAUUUUCCAUGUUUAUCCCUUGGACAAUAGUAUCUAAAUGAUGUUUCAAAUGAUUGCCUUUCUCAUAAUGAUAACUGUUUGCACUUCCAUGAUGAUGAACACCCAGGAUUCUUCUCACUGACCUCAGCAAUGGUAGGGUUAUUUAAGCAUUAUCUUUUCAAAAUGAUUCCAUUUAGAAGCCUCAAUAUGGGUUUAAGACCUUGUCUUCAAGUACUUAGGCCUGAAAUCUCUUGCAGUGCGAACAAAAUAAUUUUUGCUUACA